rnacentral:rRNA from 1 species
CCUACGGGUGGCAGCAGUGGGGAAUAUUGGACAAUGGGGGCAACCCUGAUCCAGCCAUGCCGCGUGUGUGAAGAAGGCCCUCGGGUUGUAAAGCACUUUCAGUGAGGAAGAACGCCUGGUGGUUAAUACCCAUCAGGAAAGACAUCACUCACAGAAGAAGCACCGGCUAACUCCGUGCCAGCAGCCGCGGUAAUACGGAGGGUGCGAGCGUUAAUCGGAAUUACUGGGCGUAAAGCGCACGUAGGUGGCUUGAUAAGCCGGUUGUGAAAGCCCCGGGCUCAACCUGGGAACGGCAUCCGGAACUGUCAAGCUAGAGUGCAGGAGAGGAAGGUAGAAUUCCCGGUGUAGCGGUGAAAUGCGUAGAGAUCGGGAGGAAUACCAGUGGCGAAGGCGGCCUUCUGGACUGACACUGACACUGAGGUGCGAAAGCGUGGGUAGCAAACAGGAUUAGAUACCCUAGUAGUC